AUGAACGCUGGCGGCGUGCCUCAUACCUGCAAGUCGCGCGAACGGACGAGAAGCUUGCUUCUCUGAUGUUAGCGGCGGACGGGUGAGUAACACGUGGAUAACCUACCUAUAAGACUGGGAUAACUUCGGGAAACCGGAGCUAAUACCGGAUGAUAUUUUGAACCGCAUGGUUCAAAAGUGAAAGACGGUCUUGCUGUCACUUAUAGAUGGAUCCGCGCUGCAUUAGCUAGUUGGUAAGGUAACGGCUUACCAAGGCAACGAUGCAUAGCCGACCUGAGAGGGUGAUCGGCCACACUGGAACUGAGACACGGUCCAGACUCCUACGGGAGGCAGCAGUAGGGAAUCUUCCGCAAUGGGCGAAAGCCUGACGGAGCAACGCCGCGUGAGUGAUGAAGGUCUUCGGAUCGUAAAACUCUGUUAUUAGGGAAGAACAUAUGUGUAAGUAACUGUGCACAUCUUGACGGUACCUAAUCAGAAAGCCACGGCUAACUACGUG
rnacentral:rRNA from 1 species